ensembl:lncRNA
AAGAGAGAGAGAGAGAGAGAGAGAGAGGUAGCAAGAAGAAGAGAGAGAGAGGUAGCAAGAGGAAGAGAGAGAGAGAGAGAGAGAGGUAGCAAGAGGAAGAGAGAGAGAGAGGUAGCAAGAGGAAGAGAGAGAGAGAGGUAGCAAGAAGAAGAGAGAGAGAGGUAGCAAGAGGAAGAGAGAGAGAGGUAGCAAGAAGAAGAGAGAGAGAGAGGUAGCAAGAGGAAGAGAGAGAGAGAGGUAGCAAGAAGAAGAGAGAGAGAGGUAGCAAGAGGAAGAGAGAGAGAGGUAGCAAGAGGAAGAGAGAGAGAGAGAGAGGUAGCAAGAGGAAGAGAGAGAGAGAGGUAGCAAGAGGAAGAGAGAGAGAGAGAGGUAGCAAGAAGAAGAGAGAGAGAGAGGUAGCAAGAGGAAGAGAGAGAGAGGUAGCAAGAAGAGAGAGAGAGAGAGAGGUAGCAAGAGGAAGAGAGAGAGAGGUAGCAAGAGGAAGAGAGAGA